GACGAGCCACCCGAACGUUAUUCGGAAUCACUGGGCUUAAAGCGUGUGUAGGCGGCUCGUUAAGUGUCUUGUGAAAUCCCACGGCUCACCCGUGGAACUGCUGGGCAUACUGGCGAUCUUGGGCCAACUAGGGGCAACUGGAACAAGCGGUGGAGCGGUGAAAUGCGUAGAUAUCGCUUGGAACGCCGAAGGUGAAAACAGGUUGCUGGGGUUGUGCCGACGCUGAGACACGAAAGCCAGGGGAGCAAACGGG
rnacentral:rRNA from 1 species